rnacentral:lncRNA from 1 species
GUGCAGACCUAGGAUGACAAGCCACCUGCCAGUGCUGGAGACCACUGCUGUGCAUGCUGCCACCUUCUUGUUCAUGUACCUCCCCCUCCCUCAUCCUUCCUGUUUACUUCUUUCACCAAAAUGAAAAUUGGUUGACGACAUAGCAGACGCUUCCUAAACUUCUCAAGAUGCAGAAUCCUGAAGCAAACCAUGCCUCUUGAAUGAAACAUAGACAGGUGAUUCUUGGCCCUGUGGUUCCUUCUGUCUGCGACGUAGUUCCUGUGCUGUUUAGAUGAUUGCUUGCCUCUCAGAUGUCACAGUUGGUGAUAUGUAUGUUUACUGAGCAAUUGCUGUAGCCUCACAUUGCUCUUGACUGGAGAUACUGAAUAUACCAGCAAGCAGCACGAGACUUAUACAGUACUGAAUCCUCAGCUUUGGCGCAUAGGGGGCUGGCUCUUCAAACCUACUGGUUUAGCCCAUGUAACAAAUGACUGAGGUGGAACCCACGGUGAAAAUACAAUGAUCACUCAGUCUAUUUAGUACAAUGACUGAAGCAGGCUGAGGGAAACCACUCAGGUUGUUCUGGUGUGGCCCUGCUGCCUUCUGAGGGAGUGGUGAAUUGGCAAUUACUCUGAUAAAUGUGGCUGCUGGAGACCCAUCUCUGUACAUACAACAAACAUUAAUCAAGAGUCUACAAUGGGCCAGUGCCUACCAAGACCUGAGCCCUUGAGACAGAAAGCUAACAUAACUGUCUUCUGAGAGGCUCCAUCCAGCAGUCAAUGAAAACAGAUACAGAGACCCACACUCAAACAUAGAUGGAGCUCAAGGAAUCUUAAGGAAGAGUUUGAGGAAGGAUUGAGGGACUCGAAGAGGACACAGAUCUCAAAGGAAAACCAACAGAGUCAGCUAACCUGGACACUUGGGGGCUCCCAGAGACUGAAUCACCAAACAAAAGUGAGCAUGGGCUGGGCUAGGCUCCUGCACAUAUGUAGCAGAUGAGCAGCUUGGUCUUCAUGCAGGUCCCCCAACAACUAAAGUGGGGCUGUCCCUGAGCCUGUUGUGUGCCUGUGGAGCACAUACCACUAAAUGGGUAGCCUUGUCUGGCCUCAGUGAGAGAGGAUGUGACUAUUCCAGCAGCUAUUUGAUGUGCAGGGGGUAGGGGUAGGGGUCUUAAGGGGUUAGGUGUUUGACACUGAGAGGGGGUUUCACCUUCUCUUUUGAAAAGGGGAAGGUAGAAUAGGAGGAGGGCUUUCCUAAGGAGUACUGGGAGGAGAGGAAGGGCUGAUAUUGUGUUGUAAAGUGAAUAAAUAACUAAAUUAAAAACAAAUAAAACAAAAUAACAAAAUUGAGGUCUGUGAUCUAUUUGGAUCUAAGUUUUGUACAGAGUGAUAGAGAUUGGUAUUAUUUUAUUCUUCUGUAUGUAGACAUACAGAUUUUCCAGUGCCAUUUGUUAAAGAAGCUAUCUCUUCUCUACUGAGGUUUUUCCUCAUUGUCAAAUAUCAGAUGGCUAUAGUUAUGAGAACUCACAUGUGGGCCUUCUAUUAUUCCAUUGUUCUACAUGUAUGGUUUACACUAGUACCAUAUUGUUUUAUUACUAUGGCUCUAUCUAUGGAACUCUGGGCUAACAAUUCCCCCAGAAUUAUUCUUUUGGUUCAGGAAUGGCUUGCCUCUCUGGGAUCCUUUCUCAUUUCAUAUGAAUUUUAUUCUAUCAAGAAUGUGGGUAUUUUAAUUAGGGGUUCAUUGAAUCUGUACAUUUCUUUUAGUAGCUUGGCUAUUUUCACAACUAAUUCUACUGACCCAUGAGCACAGAAUGGCUUUGUAUUUCCUAAUGCAUUUCUCAAUCCCUUUCUUCAAAUAUUUGUAAUUUGCAUUGUAGAGGUUUUCCACCUCCUCAGUUAGUUUUAUUCCAAGAUAUUUUAUUGUCAUUGAUGCUAUUGAAAAUAAAAGUCCAUCUUCAAUGUGUUUGUUAUUGAUAUAUAGAAAGGCAAAUGAUUCUUACAACAUAGAUGAUAGACAGACAGACAGAUAGAUAGAUAGAUAGAUAGAUAGAUAGAUAGAUAGAUAGAUUUUUUUUUCAAGACAGGGUUUCUCUGUGUAGCCAUGGCUGUCCUGGAACUCACUCUGUAGACCAGGUUGGCCUGGAACUCAGAAAUCUGCCUGCCUCUGCCUCCCAAGUGCUGGGAUAAAAGGUGUAUGCCACCACUGCCUGGCAUUAUAUAAGUAUUAUUACCAGUACUCUGUCAUUUUGCUGAAAUUGUUGUUUCUAGAAGUUUUAUUCUUAAGGACUAUGUAUAAGAAAUUGGGUGGGGGUGUGGUAAGAAAGUAGCUUAGUGAGAGAUCUCUACUCUUUCAUGAGCAAGUCCCAGGGUUCAAACUCAAAAACCAAAAAGGAAAAACAAAUUACUUUGAUUUUCAUCUUUAAAUUUUGGUAUCAAUCUAGUAUAAAUUUGUCUAUCACAAAAAUGGCUUGAAGCAUUCAUUGUCAGUCAAUUGGCUCUGGAAUUGUGUUUUUGUCUUGAGUUAUAUUUCCCACUUACUAUGGAUAUUAAACAUCUCUGUACACUAUUAUUAGCUAGUUGUAUUUUGCAUCUGAUCCCUGCUCAAUCUUCUGAAGUCCACUUUUUAUUUGAGUGUUAAUCUGUUUAUUAUGCAUCUAAAUGAACUUUCUGAAUAUUGUUGAUUCUAGGCAUUUGUCCACCAGUCAUUUUACCGAUGCAUUCUUCUAGUUAGCAAUUUGUUGUUCUGUGUCCUUUAAUGUGAAUUGAUGACUAAAAAUAUCUUUCUUGUCAAAAUUUCUAUAAGUAGUAUACAGAAAAGAUCAAAAAUAAAAAUAUUAAAUAUCCCCACAUGAAAUAUUUAUGCAUAGUUUACUUAGAAAAUGUGAUAACAUAUGUAUCUUUGUGUUUAAUUAGAAUACUCCAUCAAUAUUUUAAAGCUACUACACAAAUAUUAUAAACAUUAAGUACCUUUGUGCAUUUGUAUAGUUAAUGCUAUUCAGUACAUACUCACUUUUGAAACCAGUAAAAAGAGGACUGAAGUUGCAGAAAAUUAAAAAAUUCUAACAAAAAGGGGGUAAAAUUCUUUCUAUACUGAAGUGAGGUGAUAUUAAUAUAAGUACUUAGCAUAUAUUUAGAAUAUUUAUUACCAUAUAUAGUGGGGCCACAUGGCAUAUUUUAAAAUCUAAAACAUGUAAAUUUUGUUAAUUUAUUAAAAUGCAUAGCUACAGAAAGAUUUUGAAUAUAACACAGUUAUUGUUAUUCAUUACAAUUUAUUAUCCCUGAAUC